GACGAACGCUGGCGGCGUGCUUAACACAUGCAAGUCGAACGCUGAAGCUCAGCUUUUGUUGGGUGGAUGAGUGGCGAACGGGUGAGUAACACGUGAGUAACCUGCCUCCUUCUUUGGGAUAACGCCCGGAAACGGGUGCUAAUACUGGAUAUUCACUGGUCUUCGCAUGGGGGUUGGUGGAAAGGGUUUUUCUGGUGGGGGAUGGGCUCGCGGCCUAUCAGCUUGUUGGUGGGGUGAUGGCCUACCAAGGCUUUGACGGGUAGCCGGCCUGAGAGGGUGACCGGUCACAUUGGGACUGAGAUACGGCCCAGACUCCUACGGGAGGCAGCAGUGGGGAAUAUUGCACAAUGGGCGAAAGCCUGAUGCAGCGACGCCGCGUGAGGGAUGGAGGCCGUCGGGUUGUGAACCUCUUUCGCUCAUGGUCAAGCCGCAACAAUGGUUGUGGUGAGGGUAGUGGGUAAAGAAGCGCCGGCUAACUACGUG
rnacentral:rRNA from 1 species